UCCAGCUUUAAGGAAAACUGGGCUUCCUCCUCAGCCUCUGGGAGUCAAUUUUGAUUAACCUAAGCCUGUAGAGGAAAUUCUAACCUGCCUGCCAGUAACUGGUUUUAGUUUGAGUAUGUGAUGCAAUUCUGACCAAGGAGGGGAAAUCAGCGGUGGAGAUAUUUCUGAAGCUUGAUUGCACAUGUGAAUCGCCUGGGAUUUUUCUACAAGGUAGAUUUCGAGUCUGUUGGUCUGGGGUGGAGCUGAGGAGCCACCUAAUAAGUCCCUAGGGAAGAUAGAUCCACAUGCUUCCAGUCUGAGGACCCCACUGAGACAUUGCUUUCAAUUUGGGGAGUCUGAGUGAACUCCGGGAGUUGGUGAUGGACAGGGAGGCCCAGCGUGCUGCAAUUCACGGGGUCGCAAAGAGUUGGACACGACUGAGUGACUGAACUGAACUGAACUGAUACACAGAAAUUACUGGAUCAUAUGGGUGAUCAGAAGCUCUAGGCAGAGAACACAAGUAUAUCUGUGAUUCCCUUUGUACACCAUCUGACCCACUGCCACGACUUCAGGUGUUUUCAUCAUGAUAGUGAAGAACAAGGGCACCAAGUGAAGUUUGGAGUCAUGGUUCAGAGGCAAAGGAGUGGCUCUACAGCAGGGCCUGAGGGUCCAUGUGAAAGAGAUGAAACAAGCAACCUUUCUGGUAGACACUUCAGUCCUUGAUGGAAGACUGUGUUUCCAGAAAUUGAAUUGAAACCUCUACUUGGGGAAUUUAAAGGGAAGAAUGGAUCACAUUGCCGGUGAAUUUUUUUAACAUGGUAAUGACUCUUAGUACCUAGAAUAAGGCAAUAAGAGGUUACCAUGAGGUAACACAAGAAUGGAGAAUCAGGAAGACUGAAACAAUGAAACAGACAGACUGACAUCAUGCCACAGGGUGUAUAUUCUUUCUUAAAAGUUCAAAGAUGCUACAAUUUCUGUGGCAUAUAUAACCCUCCUGAUAAUCCCUAAGAGGGUUUCCCAGGUAUUCAGUGGAAAAGAAUCUGUCUGCCAUGCAGGGAAUCCAGUUUUCAGUCAUUUGAAUGUAUCCUAAGGCAAUUAUGCUAGUUAGAUCAUAAGAGAUGAUUUCAUACGAGAAACACACAUUUGAAUUAAAUACAGUGAUGAUAACAAUGAUAUGCAUUGAAUGCUUAACAUAUGCCAGACUUUUCUAACUGCUUUACUUCUAGCAACUAAUUUCAUCAAGGAGAGAGAACAAGCAUCACAAAAAUAUUAAUUUUAUUGCUGACAAAGUAAUUCACUUAAAAAAUGUAUCUGCUAAAUAAAAUACGGUAGAAAUAAAACACUGUGGUCCCAUGGAUCACUGGUGACACAAAGAGGUAUGAUGUUUAUAAUGUCUGCCUUGGACAGGGAUUAACGUCUGGAAUAUACAGAGAAACUUCUGCAUAUCUACAACAACAAAAUAAUCCAGCAGAAAAAUGGGCAAAAUGUGGAAGAGGAUGUUUAUAGAAGAGGAAACUCUUCGAGGUAAAAAACAGAUGUACAGAUGCUCUAACAUUAUUAAUAAAGGAAAUUAAAGUAAAAUAAUGAGAUAUCACAUUGUGCCCAUUAACUAGGCAAUAAUCAGAGAGAUGGAUGUUGCCUACUGUUGCGAGGAUUGUGAGAUUAGGAGUGUCCUGGCCUUCUGGUGAAAGAGUAGGCUGGGCAGCCAUCUGUGAGGCAGUGACACCACUCAGCCCAGCUGAGUGUAUGUCUAAGCCUGCUGAGGCAGGAGGCAAUCUGAUGUCCUUCAUCAGAAGCAGAUGGAUAAAAUGUGAGGGUGAACCCCCCUGGAGGACCAUACUGCAGCUAGAAGCAAUGGAUUCAAUUUUCAUAUAGGAGCAUGGGUAGAUCUUAAAGUUAUAGUGCUGACCAAACAAAGUAACAAACAGAUGAGAUAUAUAACAUAAUUAUAUUUCUAUAAAUAAAAGAUACAUCCUAAACUAUUUAACACUUAGGAAAAACAUACUGAAAAAUCUUCCUGAUAUUACAUUUGGCAAUAAUUGUUUGGCUAUGACAUCAAAAGCACAGGCCAUGAAAGUAAAAAGUUGACAACUUGGACUUCAUAAAGUUAUAAACUUUUGUAUACCAAAGGACACUAUCAAGAGAGUAAAAAGGCAACCCAUGGAAUGGGAGAAAAUAUUUGCAAAUCAUAUAUAUCUGAUAAGGCAUUAAUACCCGGGAUAUGAAAAAACUCCUACAACUCAACAACCAAAAAACAAACAACCUAAUUUAAAAACGGGCAAAGAAAUUGAAUAGACACAAUGCAAAGAAAAUAUGCAAAUAGCCAAUAAUCAUAUUUAAAAAUCCUCCACACCACUAGUCAUUAGGGAAGUGCAUGUUCAAACCAUGGUAAUAAAUCACUUCACACCUAUUAGGAGGGCUAUUAUUAAAAGAAAAACAAGCCAGAAAAUAGCAAGUAGUGGGGAAGAUGUAGAGAAACUGGAAACCUAUGUAUCACUGGUGGGGAUGUAAAGUGGUAGAUCCAUUGUGAAGAAAGAGUAUGGUGGUUCUUCAGAAAAUUAAACGUAGGAUUGCCAUUCGAUCCAGCAAUAACCCUUCUGGGUAUAUACCACGAAGAAGUGAAAGCAGGAACCUGAUCAGAUAUUUGUAUACCUAUAUUCAUAGCAGCGUUAUUCACAAUAGCCAAUCAGUGGAAACAAUCCAAGUGUCCAUCAACAGAUGAAUGAAUGAACAGGGUGUGGUACAGACAUACAACAAAAUGAAAUGUUAGUCACAAAAGAGCAAAUGUUGUCUGAUACCACCUCACCUAUAUGAGGGACCUGGAGUAGUCAAAUUCAUAAAGAGAGAAAGCAGUAUGAUGGUUGUCAGGGUGUGGAGGGAGGGGAAAUGGGGAGUUAUUAUUUAACGAAUUUCUGAGUUUCAGUUUGGUUUGAUGGAAAAAUUAUGGAGAUGGAUAGCUGUGAUAUACAUCACAAGUAUAUGCAUCACAUAUACUCUACAUGAUAUUCCAAAUGCAUUUGCUGCAACUGAACUAUACACUUAAAGUGGUUAAAAUGGUAAAUUUUAUGUUAUGUAUAUUUUAUCACAAUUUGAAAAGUGAAAAAUAAAUUUAAAAAGACAGAAAGAUUCUGCACUUCCAGUUCAGGGGACACAGGUUGAAUCCUUGGUCAGGGAAUAUCCCACAUGACAUGCGGUGUGGCCAAAAAGUAAAAAAAAAAAAAAAAAGACAAAAAAAUAUGCAGUUUUGAUAGUUUCAGAGAAGAGUUUCAGGGAAGUGCUUCAGAGAAGUUUCAGAGAAGAGUGCAGCAAUUUUCUUUUAAGAAGGUGGGAGAAGAUGGGAGUUUAUGUCUUACUGAUGUGAAGCAGUCAAAACAUGUAAUAAUUCAGUGGUUGAUGUCACACAGAUCUUAAAAUUAAUGAGUUAAUUAGUUCAAGAAUAAUUUUUAAGAGAAAAUAUAUAUUCACACAAAAGAGCAAAUACCGCUUUCAAGGUAUUUGUAAAACACACUAG
ensembl:lncRNA